CGGAUGGAUUCGCAUGACAGACCUUAUAAAUCAGUUCAACAAUAACCAACUGCAGAAUGUCACCGAAUGUCUGGACUUGGUCAAUGCAGGUACUCAAAUAAUCCAACGCUCGAUCCUGAUCUGCGUGAAUUAACAUCAUAAAUGCAUUUCUUUUGCAGCUUGCAUCCUUCUCAUUCACCAGGAAAUCAUGGAUCAAUUCGGGAGCAUCGGGUAUAAGAUGUUCAAAAUUUCUAUAGAUGGUGUAAAUUGCAAGGACUGCAUUUCUGCGCACAUAGCUGUGACGAUGCUCUAGGCACGCACGGAUGGCUGGCAUCAGAGGCUCCAGCAGUUCUGCUUCUUUCAGCUUACAAAGAAAACGAAGAGUAGAGCCUCGGAUAAACUCAUUUGGAUGCUGAAGAUCCUUUCUGUAUGCAUCACAGACAAGGAUCAUUUCCUGCAGAAGCCUGCCAUCAGGAGUGGUCUUUGGCACUAUCUCCCAGAAGACAAGCAGCAGCUUUUUGAUGGUAUGGUCUUGGAGAGGCAGCACAAAACGUAUAAUGGUCAUAAGAAGCCCAGGCAGUUUUUCACCAUUCAGAAUCAUAAUAAUCACUUUCUUCAAGGCCUCUGUCUUCAACUUGACAUCUCCUUUUUCUAGGUCAUUUUUUAAGCUGAUUUCAGAAGGUGGUUCUGAAUCCAUGGGGACGUUGAUUAGCGUGUAGCACACGUUCUCAGCAGCAGUCAUGGUUCCUGGUUACAAAUGCUUUCUCAGGAGAAGAGUUAUUUUGACACAAGUAUCAGACAACCGUGAGGCGGCGGUGCUGCGAGCAGCGGCCCGCUCGGGUCGGACGCGGCGAGUCGAGGCCGGGCCCGCUGAGCUCAGCCUGCGGCGCUUCGCUCCCGCUCCGGCGAUGGCUGACGUGGAGCCGCUCCCUCCCGGACUCC
rnacentral:lncRNA from 1 species